UUCCGGGUAGGGGUACCUGCGGAGGGAUCAUUACCGAGUAACCCAAUGUGAACGUUACCAAACUGUUGCCUCGGCGGGGUCACGCCCCGGGUGCGUCGCAGCCCCGGAACCAGGCGCCCGCCGGAGGAACCAACCAAACUCUUUCUGUAGUCCCCUCGCGGACGUAUUUCUUACAGCUCUGAGCAAAAAUUCAAAAUGAAUCAAAACUUUCAACAACGGAUCUCUUGGUUCUGGCAUCGAUGAAGAACGCAGCGAAAUGCGAUAAGUAAUGUGAAUUGCAGAAUUCAGUGAAUCAUCGAAUCUUUGAACGCACAUUGCGCCCGCCAGUAUUCUGGCGGGCAUGCCUGUCCGAGCGUCAUUUCAACCCUCGAACCCCUCCGGGGGAUCGGCGUUGGGGAUCGGGACCCCUCACACGGGUGCCGGCCCCGAAAUACAGUGGCGGUCUCGCCGCAGCCUCUCCUGCGCAGUAGUUUGCACAACUCGCACCGGGAGCGCGGCGCGUCCACGUCCGUAAAACACCCAACUUUCUGAAAUGUUGACCUCGGAUCUACCUAGGCGAGUGACCUCGGAUCAGGUAGGAAUACCCGCUGAACUUAA
rnacentral:rRNA from 1 species